AUACGUAGGGAGCAAGCGUUGUCCGGAUUUACUGGGUGUGGAGGGUGCGUAGGCGGGUUAUCAAGUUGGGUGUGAAACCUCCGUGCUUAACACGGAGCCUGCAUUCAAAACUGGUAAUCUUGAGUGAGGUAGAGGUAGAUGGAAUUCCCGGUGUAGCGGUGAAAUGCGUAGAGAUCGGGAGGAACACCAGUGGCGAAGGCGGUCUACUGGGCCUUAACUGACGCUGAGGCACGAAAGCAUGGGUAGCAAACAGGAUUAGAUACCCUGGUAGUCCAUGCUGUAAACGAUGAUUGCUAGGUGUGGGUGGACUGACCCCAUCCGUGCCGGAGUCAACACAAUAAGCAAUCCACCUGGGGAGUACGGCCGCAAGGUUAAA
rnacentral:rRNA from 1 species